rnacentral:rRNA from 1 species
CACACCGCCCGUCACGCCAUGGAAGUUGGGAGUGCCCGAAGUCCGUGAGGCAACCGCAAGGAGCCAGCGGCCGAAGGCGAGCCCGAUGACUGGGGCG